rnacentral:lncRNA from 1 species
UAUCUGAAGCAUAAAAUAUUCCUCUCAUUAUACAGGUGGGCGCCUAUUUAACUAAUACAUGAAAAUAUUCCUCUCAUUAUACAGGUGGGCGCCUAUUUAACUAAGACAUGAAAAUAUUCCUCUCAUUAUACAGGUGGGCGCCUAUUUAGCUAAGACAUGAAAAUAUUCCUCUCAUUAUACAGGUGGGCGCCUAUUUAGCUAGACAUGAAAAUAUUCCUCUCAUUAUACAGGUGGGCGCCUAUUUAGCUAAGAUAUGAAAAUAUUCCUCUCAUUAUACAAGUGGGCGCCUAUUUAACCAAGACAAGAAAAUAUUCCUCUCAUUAUACAGGUGGGCGCCUAUUUAACUAAGACAUGAAAAUAUUCCUCUCAUUAUACAGGUGAGCGCCUAUUUAACUAAGACAUGAAAAUAUUCCUCUCAUUAUAC